AACGUAGGGUCCGAGCGUUAUCCGGAUUUACUGGGCGUAAAGCGCGUUCAGGCGGUUUGGCAAGUCGGGCGUGAAAUCUCUCGGCUCAACCGGGAGAGGUUGUCCGAUACUGCUGGACUUGAGGGCAGUAGAGGGUGGUGGAAUUCCGGGUGUAGUGGUGAAAUGCGUAGAUAUCCGGAGGAACACCAGUGGCGAAAGCGGCCACCUGGACUGCACCUGACGCUGAAACGCGAAAGCUAGGGGAGCGAACGGG
rnacentral:rRNA from 1 species